UCGAGGAUCUUUCGCAAUGGGCGCAAGCCUGACGAAGCGACGCUGCGUGAGUGAUGAAGGCCUUCGGGUUGUAAAGCUCUUUCGCGCAAGAACAAGGAAAUGGUGUGAAUAACAUCGUAACUUGAGGGUACUGCGUAAAGAAGCACCGGCUAACUCCGUGCCAGCAGCUGCGGUAAUACGGAGAGUGCAAGCAUUAAUCGGAAUUAUUGGGCGUAAAGGGCGCGUAGGCGGAGAGGUAAGUCAGAUGUGAAAUUCCGAAGCUCAACUUCGGAGCUGCAUUUGAAACUGCCAUUCUAGAGGGUUGACGGAGAAAACGGAAUUCCACGUGUAGCGGUGAAAUGCGUAGAUAUGUGGAAGAACACCGGUGGCGAAAGCGGUUUUCUAGUUGACAACUGACGCU
rnacentral:rRNA from 1 species